GGACAGGUGGCAGAGUGGUCGAAUGCACCGGUCUUGAAAACCGGCGUGGGUGCAAGCUCACCGUGGGUUCGAAUCCCACCCUGUCCGCCA
rnacentral:tRNA from 1 species